AGAUGCUGUCGGGCCGCGGCGGCGCUUGGCAGCCAGGAGCUCUGCAUUGAAGGCACUGGGGUGAGGCUUACUGCCCGGCAGGCUGGUGGGUACGCGAGGGCUGAGGUGUCUGUAAAUCUGGCCGCCAGCCUCCACGGGCCCGGCAUUUGUCCAUCUUUCUAGGCGCUCGCGACUCGGCGACGGCGGCCGCAGUGGGACACGGAGGCGGGGCCGGGCACCUGUGCGCGUUUGCAGGCACCUGCUGCGCUGGCCGCCUCGCAGCCCGGGACUGCUGCUGGGGACUGCGGCUGGAGCUGGGCUGGCCCGGCCCGAGGGAGAGGGGGGCCCAGCUGGCUCGCCCCGGCCCGUGCCCGCCCUCCCCGGCCGGGUCCCGACCCCGAGCUCUGGUUAAGGGGGCGUCGCCGGGCCCCAGAGCCCCCCCACUGGAGGGGCCCGCGGCUCCCGGGCCAGCAUCGAGCUAGCUGCGAGGCCAGGACAGGGCCCCCGCCUUGCAUCACCUCGAGACAGGUAAAGUGAAUGCCGAAGACAGAAGAUUUGGAUGAUACACCACUGACUUUCUUUGUUUGGAAUACACGUUAUGAACCCUUUCUGGAGCAUGUCUACAAGCUCUGUACGCAAACGAUCUGAAGGUGAAGAGAAGACAUUAACAGGGGACGUGAAAACCAGUCCUCCACGAACUGCACCAAAGAAACAGCUGCCUUCUAUUCCCAAAAAUGCUUUGCCCAUAACUAAGCCUACAUCUCCUGCCCCAGCAGCACAGUCAACAAAUGGCACGCAUGCGUCCUAUGGACCCUUCUACCUGGAAUACUCUCUUCUUGCAGAAUUUACCUUGGUUGUGAAGCAGAAGCUACCAGGCGUCUAUGUGCAGCCAUCUUAUCGCUCUGCAUUAAUGUGGUUUGGAGUAAUAUUCAUACGGCAUGGACUUUACCAAGAUGGCGUAUUUAAGUUUACAGUUUACA
rnacentral:lncRNA from 10 species